GAAUAUGCCUUAGGGUGGGGGACAACAGUUGGAAACGACUGCUAAUACCGCAUAACGUCUACGGACCAAAGGGGGCUUCGGCUCUCGCCCUUAGAUUAGCCCAAGUGGGAUUAGCUAGUUGGUGAGGUAAUGGCUCACCAAGGCGACGAUCCCUAGCUGGUUUGAGAGGAUGAUCAGCCACACUGGAACUGAGACACGGUCCAGACUCCUACGGGAGGCAGCAGUGGGGAAUAUUGCACAAUGGGCGCAAGCCUGAUGCAGCCAUGCCGCGUGUGUGAAGAAGGCCUUAGGGUUGUAAAGCACUUUCAGUAAGGAGGAAAGGUUAGUAGUUAAUACCUGCUAGCUGUGACGUUACUUACAGAAGAAGCACCGGCUAACUCCGUGCCAGCAGCCGCGGUAAUACUGAGGGUGCGAGCGUUAAUCGGAAUUACUGGGCGUAAAGCGUACGCGGGCGGUUUGUUAAGCGAGAUGUGAAAGCCCCGGGCUCAACCUGGGAACUGCAUUUCGAACUGGCAAACUAGAGUAUGAUAGAGGGUGGUAGAAUUUCAGGUGUAGCGG
rnacentral:rRNA from 1 species